rnacentral:rRNA from 1 species
GAUGAACGCUGGCGGCGUGCCUAAUACAUGCAAGUCGAGCGAACAGACGAGGCGCUUGCUCCUUCGACGUGAGCGGCGGACGGGUGAGUAACACGUAGGUAACCUACUUAUAAGACUGGUAAAACUUCGGGAAACCGGAGCUAAUCCCGGAGAAUAUUCCGAACCGCAUGGUUCGAUAGUGAAAGAUGGCUUUGCUAUCACUUAUAGAUGGACCUGAGCCGUAUUAGCUAGUUGGUAAGUUAACGGCUUACGAAGGCAACGAGACGUAGCCGACCGGAGAGAGUGAUCGGCCACACGAGAGCUGAAACGCGGUCAAUGGGACUACGGGAGGCAGCAGUAGGCAAUCGUCCGCAGUGGUCGAAAGCAUUACGGAGCAGCGCCGCGUGUGAGAUGAAAGUCUUCGGUUCGUAAUACUCUGUUAUUAGGGAAGAACAAACGUGUACGUAACUGUGCACGUCUUGACGGUACUUAAUCAGAAAGCCACGGCUAACUACGUG